rnacentral:rRNA from 1 species
UACGUAGGGUGCAAGCGUUAUCCGGAAUUAUUGGGCGUAAAGAGCUCGUAGGCGGUUUGUCGCGUCUGCUGUGAAAACCGGAGGCUCAACCUCCGGCCUGCAGUGGGUACGGGCAAACUAGAGUGCGGUAGGGGAGAUUGGAAUUCCUGGUGUAGCGGUGGAAUGCGCAGAUAUCGGGAAGAACACCCGUGGCGAAGGCGGCUCUCUGGGACGGUACUGACGCUGAGACGCGAAAGCGUGGGGAGCGAACAGG